rnacentral:tRNA from 1 species
GGGGUUGUGGCUCAGUGUUAAGAGCACUUGCCUGGCAUGUGUGAGGCACUGGGUUCGAUCCUCAGCACCA